AUAUGAGAGUGGCGAACGGGUGAGUAACACGUAAGAAUCUACCUUUGGGACGGGGAUAACUUCUGGAAACGGAUGCUAAUACCCGAUACGCUGUGGAGUGAAAGAAUUUCGCCCAAAGAUGAUCUUGCGUCUGAUUAGCUAGUUGGUAGGGUAAUGGCUUACCAAGGCGACGAUCAGUAGCUGGUCUGAGAGGAUGGACAGCCACAUUGGAACUGAGACACGGCCCAGACUCC
rnacentral:rRNA from 1 species